AUGUGGGCCCCGAUUACUGCCACCUUCCUCAUCUAUUGGCUCAUCUACCGCCCGGAUCGCUUCCACCCACGCACGGACUCCGCCGUCCUCGCCACCUUCCACAUCACCAACGACAGUCUCCGGUAUGACCUCGCCGUCGACCUCAGCUUCCGGAACACGCAGCGCGUCUCAAUCCUCUACCUGGACGUCGCGGCAUCCAUGUACUACAACGGUACCAGGCUUGGCCCCACCGACGACGCGCUCCCGAGCUUCCGCCAGGGACCCAAGAACACAAUUGUGUUACAUCCAGCGUUCAAUGGCGUGGUGACCGUGGACUCCGGCGUGGUGGCAGAGCUGGAGAGGGAGCGCGCGGCGGGGACGGUGCACCUGAGGGUCACCGUGUCGCUCACGCUCAUGUACAAGGUGUUGUUCAUCAAGGACAUCUUCUUCUACAAGUACGACUGCUGGCUCUGGUUCCCGCCGCCGAGCAACAGCACGCCGGUGCUCUUUUACGGCGACGGCACCAAGUGCUGGCGCAUUUGA
rnacentral:rRNA from 1 species